AUGGAAACGCUUAAACUUGUUUUCAUUUUUGUGCUGCUUCUGUCAAACGUUUUCUGUCAAGAUAUGGAUGCUGACAUCUGGAGCGAAGACAUCGAGGAGGAAAAAUGGCCAAACUAUAAAGAAAUUCAAGACAUUUUAGUGAGAAUGACCAGAAAACCAGGAUCUCGCCAACAUCUUGGAUUUAUGGGGAAAAAGGAGUCUGGAAAAACACGGACGGCACGUAAACGUAAGUUUUAUAAGUUUGUAUUUUUUGUAUUUCAGUUCAGUAAUAUUUCAGAGGUAAAAAAAAAUAUAUAUGGUGAAAUGGUGUUUUUAUUUCUAGGGCACAAAUUUCAAACCUUUGUGGGUCUGAUGGGGAAGAGAAGCUCUUGGGAUUAA
rnacentral:lncRNA from 1 species